rnacentral:lncRNA from 1 species
GAAGCUACGCUCCGCCAACAGUUAUCAUGGCGUAUAACGGCGUACCUUUAUUCCGCGGUUCAUUCAACUUCAGAAACUUGGUAGGGAGGACGGCAUGGCCGCACCCAUACGGAUUAUGAUAUUGGAGGCCGCCAUCGUCAAAGGGCUUUUAUUCCGUACAGCCAAGGACAAAUGGAAUGUCACAGAGUAAAAGUCUUGGGUCCUACAUUGGCAGGGGACCUAUUCAAUACUUGUGUAUAUAUAUUUCUAGGAGAAACUGACAUGUAUUCUGAAAAAUACUUUUUCUCUAUAUUUUUCCCUCUGAUUUAAAGACUUUUUUUUCCUGAAUUGCUGAACAACUCACUGUCUUUAAUAGCACUUUUGAAAAUGUUAUCUUUCUGAGAAAUUGUAUCUUUGUUAUCCUUACACCAUUGCUCUCUAUACCUGGAUGAACCUAUUGAUGAAGUAACCUACCAAGCGACCACCUGAAGAGAGAAUUUAGGGCUCUUGGGACACUUCAUUUAAAGAGAGGCGAAUGAAAAAAAUAUAAUCAAGUUAAAGGAAAAAAACACAAUUACUGAGAUCAAUGUCAGCCAGCCCAACUGGGCAGAAUUUUCAGGAAGAGGUUGUUCAAUCAAAUAAACAAAAAUAUAUUCUAGAAGGUGAGUAAUAGCAAUCAUAAAAUUAAAAAAAUGGCUGAUUAUGGGAAAUAGGAGGCAGGGCUGAGUGAGGAUCUGAAGGUGAAGAUCUGAAAUGAUCCUUCUUUUUUAAAAAAUAGUAAUUUAAAUAUAUUGCUUUCGUAGUUUGUGCCAUUUUGUAGUUACCGAUUUUACAUUCUGUGUUCACAGCUUCUGCCACCCCAUCUCUGCACUUAAAGCCACCAUAUUACUUUUAAUUACUUCAUACCUCAUUUUUAGUCCAUUUGAAUAAUAAAAUAAGACUGCUUAGCCAAUGAAGCAUUUUUUUGAACAUGGUUUCCCAGGAAUAGUUGAGUUUUCACAUUAGUAUCUGAACCUAACUUUGUUACAUGAAGCAUGAAACCUGCUUUUAUUUUAAAACAUCAAUUAUAUAUUUACUGUAAGCAAAUAGUGUAAAAUCAAUAAAAACACUUAUCUUUAUUAUG